ACGAACGCUGGCGGCGUGCUUAACACAUGCCAGUCGCACGGAAAGGCCCUGCUUUUGUGGGGUGCUCGAGUGGCGAACGGGUGAGUAACACGUGAGUAACCUGCCCUUGACUUUGGGAUAACUUCAGGAAACUGGGGCUAAUACCGGAUAGGAGCUCCUGCUGCAUGGUGGGGGUUGGAAAGUUUCGGCGGUUGGGGAUGGACUCGCGGCUUAUCAGCUUGUUGGUGGGGUAGUGGCUUACCAAGGCUUUGACGGGUAGCCGGCCUGAGAGGGUGACCGGCCACAUUGGGACUGAGAUACGGCCCAGACUCCUACGGGGGGCAGCAGUGGGGAAUAUUGCACAAUGGGCGGAAGCCUGAUGCAGCAACGCCGCGUGCGGGAUGACGGCCUUCGGGUUGUAAACCGCUUUCGCCUGUGACGAAGCGUGAGUGACGGUAAUGGGUAAAGAAGCACCGGCUAACUACGUG
rnacentral:rRNA from 1 species